UGAGGAAUAUUGGUCAAUGGGCGAGAGCCUGAACCAGCCAAGUCGCGUGAAGGAAGACAGUCCUAAGGAUUGUAAACUUCUUUUAUACGGGAAUAACGGGCGAUACGAGUAUUGCAUUGAAUGUACCGUAAGAAUAAGCAUCGGCUAACUCCGUGCCAGCAGCCGCGGUAAUACGGAGGAUGCGAGCGUUAUCCGGAUUUAUUGGGUUUAAAGGGUGCGUAGGUUGAUCGGUAAGUCAGCGGUGAAACCUGAGCGCUCAACGUUCAGCCUGCCGUUGAAACUGCCGGGCUUGAGUUCAGUGGCGGCAGGCGGAAUUCGUGGUGUAGCGGUGAAAUGCAUAGAUAUCACGAGGAACUCCGAUUGCGAAGGCAGCUUGCCAUACUGCGACUGACACUGAAGCACGAAGGCGUGGGUAUCAAACAGG
rnacentral:rRNA from 1 species